CCUAGGAAUCUGCCUGGUAGUGGGGGACAACGUUUCGAAAGGAACGCUAAUACCGCAUACGUCCUACGGGAGAAAGCAGGGGACCUUCGGGCCUUGCGCUAUCAGAUGAGCCUAGGUCGGAUUAGCUAGUUGGUGAGGUAAUGGCUCACCAAGGCGACGAUCCGUAACUGGUCUGAGAGGAUGAUCAGUCACACUGGAACUGAGACACGGUCCAGACUCCUACGGGAGGCAGCAGUGGGGAAUAUUGGACAAUGGGCGAAAGCCUGAUCCAGCCAUGCCGCGUGUGUGAAGAAGGUCUUCGGAUUGUAAAGCACUUUAAGUUGGGAGGAAGGGUUGUAGAUUAAUACUCUGCAAUUUUGACGUUUCCGACAGAAUAAGCACCGGCUAACUCUGUGCCAGCAGCCGCGGUAAUACAGAGGGUGCAAGCGUUAAUCGGAAUUACUGGGCGUAAAGCGCGCGUAGGUGG
rnacentral:rRNA from 1 species